UGCGUGGCUUGGAUUGUUAGGUCACAAAGCAUCCGUGUGACUUGAUUAGAUUAUCUGGAUCUUCGAUAUCUACAAGGUAAGUGACUUAACCCUUCAUAGUGUGAUUUCUCAAAAAAUUUGGAAAAAUUAUAGUCUAUAUUGCUUGAUUAAGUAAUUUUAUAAUUCUAAUUUGUUUGAUUAAAUGGUCGAGCAUGUUGUGUUUUAUCUCUGAAAAUGAUAUAAGAAUUAAUUAUGUAUUUGAAUAUGAAUUUUGAAAUCUGACCGGAUAACUUAAGAAAAUUAUUUUCACGAUUAUAUGUUCAACAUGGCUAUGAUCUGCUCUAGCCCCACCAACGGAGAUUAUAUGUUGGUUCUGUCGACUUGUAAUCUGCAAAACUGUUUCAACACCAUAUCACCGGUGAUUAGAAUACUGGUUAUCUGAGGGCCCAUUAUUUGGUAUUUGUCAUCGAUUAUUUGUUUACCGAUCCAUGUCACUUGGUGACGUGGACAUACCCAAAUGUUAGAAUUAGUAUCAUUUGGUGAAAAGUAUGCUUUUGCAAAGAAAUAGAAAUAUUAUUCUUUGAUAGUUAACAAGUACGAGAUUUUACCGGCCAAUGAUCUGUUGUUUUAUUUGAUUUGUUAAGUGUUAACAUGCUUUGACCUACUCUGAAGUGUUUUCUUGCUUACUGGGCAGGUGUAGCCCAUUCUUUUUUUCUCUCUUUGUUUCAAAUUCUAAACUAUGAUUACUUGCAGGACUGUAGGAAGCACGCUAGUUAGUUUGUGAGCAUUUUGUAAAUUUUUGUUGUUUCAGUUUUCUUUGUUAUCUGGUAUGUUGGUAGUUUAGCUUAGAUCUGAAGACUUUUAGCUGGAUUAUGUUAAUACUAUUUUGAAGUUUUUGACUCUUGUCAUCCCGGGUUAUAUGUUGAAGAAAAGGAUUUAUGGGAUGUUAUUAUAUCAGCUCUCGAGGAUUGAAGUUAUUCUAGUAUGGAUAUUAUGAAAUGAUUAGAUUUGUUGUCCGAUAGCAUUGCAUGUUUGUGGGGUCUGCCUUGCAGGCAUGCGGUGCCUAUUACGCGCUCAGUUUGGGCAUGAUAGAUCUACUUUAGGUUUUACCUAAAUCACCCCAUGUUCGAAAUCAUGUCAAUCUUGAUGUCUAACCACCAAGCACAAGUACUUAAGCUAAACCGACAUAUCCAAGUAACAUAGCAUACUUUGUGGUAUAUACUGGCAAGGAUUAAAGAACCGGCAUGCCAUGUCUAUGCCAGUUAUAGGUUGGCACGGCAUGUAUUGUGCUAUGUCAAGCAGCGUCAAGUCAUAUUCCCAACCACUUGCUAAGGCUCUUGGCAAACAAAAUGGGUCCAUGCAUGCCAAUAUUGGUUUGUGCCCUUAUGGCCUAGAGGAACAUGCUUUAGCACAAAAUAAUACGAAUCAACAUUGAGUGAUACUACACAGGGGUACAUGCCCCUAUGGUAUACCCAUUUCUUGUCGGCAAAAAACCAAGCAAAAUAUCACACAUUGAUCCAAGAAAACCAUUAGAAAACAAUAGCUAAAUCAUUGACCAAGUAGACUGAACUAUUUCUAUUUUGAGCAACAACAAUUAUAUUAUGUGCUGGAUAGGUAGUGUUUUACUUUAAAACCCUCCUUUCACUUUUCUUAGUGUUUUACUUAAAAACCCUCCUUUUUCUUUUCUUAGUGGAUGCACUAACAACACAUUACAAGUCCCUAGCUUGCCUAAAUUUUAUAGUCCAUAUUAACACAAGUAGAAUAUAUAGAAAGCUAAGUGUGCCAAGUCAACCACUAAGCAACACUAGGAGCAAGUUUCUUCUCAUAUGCCUUCUUUACUCUCCUAUCCUCUUUUCCUUGUCCUUCUUUGCUCACCUUUCUUGCCUCCCACACCUUUACCCUCUACUAGAUAAUUAUACUUCCAUCACCUUCAUGGCACCCCACCAUCGCACAACUCCGCUGUAUUGCCACCUUGACGAAGCUUGUUGCUUGUCAAAAUGUUGUAGCCCACCGCUGUUUGUUCACCUCCUCUCUUCAUCCUUUCCCCUCUCAUCAACUCCUUAUCUGAGUUGAGUAACCAGCAAAAUUGGUUUGAUCACAAAUGUGUAGCUUAUUGGCGGGUUAAGUCGAGUUUGAAUCAAGCCAGUUAUGCCUUCAUGGUAGAGAUUGGCCAAACCUUAAUCCAAUCUAACCCAUUACCAAUCCUAAUAACGAAAAAGGGGAAAAUACCAAACUAUGUUUACUCCGCAAAAAUAGACACAACACAUUUAGUCCAUGUACAUAAAAUCAACUUCUAAAACCUAAUUCACUAAUAGUAACUAUCAAUUUAUAUCAAUUGACAUUGGGAAAUGUGAAUUAAAUAUAUUUAGUAAUGUAAUUCAAUUUAGGUUAAUGGUGGUAGGAGGAUGUUAUUACAUGAAAAGGAAAUGAUGGAUGAAGAUGGACAUUCUACAACAUUGGAUAACUUACCAAAUGCAUGUUAUAAUUUAGUGGGAUUUGCUAAAAUUAUGUCAAUUAGGUACUAUAUUACUUAUUUUGAAUAUUACAAAAUUUUAUGCAUAACAACCAGAAACAUCUAUUAAACCAUCUUGAAUCCUGAAAGUCAUAGGCCCGUUAGACCUUUUGCACAAACAUAUAUGACAUUAAGUUGGAAAAAGAGAAAUAAUCACCUAAAAUAUAAAUGCAAAAAAAAGAGAAUAUCUUGUACUGGGAGAGAAAGCCUCUGACUCUACAUUAGAAGUUCAUAACAAAUUUCAACUGGUUGCUAUGGAUGAGAUUAGGACCUAAAACAUUUUUGAAAGAUUGAUGUUCAGAUAAACAUUCUAUAGCUACUUAUACACAAAUGAGAUGGUGCACGGAAAAAGAGGUAUAUCUAGAAGUCUUUGUGCAGUAUUAUCAACUUCUUGGACUAACAAAUCCAUUGUCCGUGGUAGUUGAUCAUAGAAGCUCAAGAACAAGGUUUGUCAACCUAGUGUCAUCAACAUCAGUUAGAUUAAAUUAUGUAGACAUUUCAUAUGUUGGGCCGACCUGGUUUGCUAGAUGAAAGUGAAACUCAAGCUAGUAUUCUACUGAAAGUUGCCCAUACAAGAUUUGCAUGAUGCAUGCAUAUCAAGAAGUCGGUACUAGGUCCAAGAAUCAUCAAAACAAAACAAAGGUUAAAGAACAUAGGAAAACCAGGCAAUGUUUCUAAAAUGAAUUCUUUGAUCAAUAACUCCAAUGGUUAUUUGUCCACAUCCCAAAAGUUGCAGUCCUGACACAGAUAUCAUGGCUAGCUUGCAAGGCUUAGCUCUAUCCGAACUAGAAUGACUAAGUGGCAAGUUAUUAGCUGAGAACCAAAAUGUCUGCAUGAACAUUAACCUGUUAAUCAUCUAAUCAAAGAAACAUCAGAUAUGACCAUCAAAGAUUUGUUGCUAGAUUACUAAUAGCAUAUACAUCUCAGCCUGGAGAAUUUCAAACCCAACCAAAUCAAAGGUUUACGUUUAUACACAUGCUUAUUAUUAAAUGCCUGCUAAUAAGUCUAUAACCCCUGAGCAAACCUAGCAUAACCUACACACUCAGAAAAUGUUCUUAUAGAGUAAUGGUGUAACACAACAUAACAGAAUUUCUCCUAUCAAGUACGUGAUUGAAACAAGUGCCAGAAUGGCAGUAUCAUCAAAGAUUUGAAUUAAUGGUACUAAAGGUAGAAAAUAAAAAGCUAUGGCAUGGAUAGUGGUGAUAGAAAGAGAAGAUUGUAAUGGUAAGCAAAAAUCGAUAAUGACAUUGGCAAAAAUAAAACAGAAUCUAAUCUUCAUUGCAUUACAAAAUCCCAGUGCUUUCCAGAAUUAGAGAAGAUUAUCACGGUCAUAAAUAUUUAAAUAGACAAAACCAAAAGUGAGAGAACGCAUAUCAUGUAUAGAGCAUAGUUAAUUCAAACAUUUUACAAUAAAUGAAAUCUCGCCACAUUUAGUCAUGCAUGCAACAAAAAGUUGAUUUUACAAUGUAAUUCCGCAGAAACAAGUUCUAGAUAAAUCAUGGCAAGUUCAAAUAAAUGGUUGACAACAAAAGUAGACCAUUUCUAGGAUAUAAGCAUCUUAAGGGAUUCCUUUGACAAAGAACAACGAGGACAAAAGUUAUUUACUUACGGAGCCAUCCAGCGGUAAGUUCCAGUCUCUGGAGUCAUUCCCUCAGUUUGCACCUCAAUCCGAGCCACUCCAAAGUCAGCAAUCUUGAUGGAUUUGUCUGCAAAAAUGAGAAGGUUGUCUGACUUGAGAUCCCUGUGAAUAAAGCCCAGUCCGUGCACAUAGGCCAUUCCCCUGGCAACAUCCAGUGCUUGUUUGACAGCCAGCCUCAGUGGCACCGAUCUGUUCUGCCUCUUCAUCAGGAACUGCCGAACUGAGCCACCCCUUGCAUACUCAGUCACGAUGCACCAAACCAUCGGCUUCCUGCAUGCGCCUAUAAACCUAACCACAUUUGGAUGCCUCAGGUUUGCCAGCAUCAUGACCUCCUGCACAAACUGCUGCUCCAUCAACCUCUCUCUUUCUGGGUCAUUCUCUGGCCUUUCUAGCAGCUUAAUGGCAACAUCUUCUCCAUUGUAGGUGCCCUUGUAAAGUUUUCCAAAGGCCCCCUGCGCAAAGGGCAUUCCCAUGUUGAGCUUCCCCAGAUCGAUGGUCCACUCAUCAUAAUCCUUGAGUGUCUCCGUCGGGGAAUGGGGGUCCAUCAAUGCCUUGGCCAGUGCAUCCUCAUUGAGCGCAUGAGACACCUUUCCAGGGUGUCUGCUGUGAUUCACAGAAUAAUUAGCGGAGGGCAUGGGACGAAGUCCAGGAUGGUUGAGGAUGCCAGUAUGGGAGUCACUCGACCCCACACUGCUGUUGUCCACUGACAUCGCAAUGGACCCUCCACCAUUGGUAGUCUGUAGGCUAUUUCCACUUUCUAUGGACAUGUUGGAGCCCUCCCCGAGCUUUCGGUAGUAUGCCAUGUCAUAGAAGUUGUUCCCGUUGUCGUUUCCACCGCCGCCGCCCAUGAGUCCAGUAAAUUUCGGGCCUUCCACCAUCUCUGAUCCAGCUGAACUUUCAGAUGCUCACAGCUCCAAACCUCGCGCACUCUGUGGCAUCUGAACUCCCGCCAGCCUCAGAGCUUAGCCACAAGAACAGAGAAUCACAUCAGUUCCGAUCAGCAGUCAAUGUUCCUUCUAAAGACAUCAAAAAUUCCAACUUCUUUAUUUUUUUUCCCCCUCUGGUCAUCCAUACAUCUACCUCACCAUAGAUAAAACCCUAAGAAUUAAUCUCUACUACCCCAUCCCUUCCCUCAAUUAGCGAUUCAAAUCACCCGAAACGCACCCAAUUUAUUAUUCGCAAACCGAAACCCCUAAAAGAACCCCCCAGAACGGUCAAUCCGAGAGCAAGAAUCUCAGAUAAAACGUUACCAUACGCACAACCAACCCCGCAGCUAAGAUAGCAGAUUAAGAACACAAGAAGGAGAAGAACAGCAGCGAUUAAACCAAGAAACGAGCCAAGAAGCCCUAGAGGCGAACAAAUUCUCCGAUCGGAGCCCAAGAACCAUCGGUUCCAGCUAUACGUACCUCGAUCGGGAGGGAUUCCUUCGACGCGACGCGAGGGGCAAGGGACCCGGAGCGGGAUCUCGUCGCCCAGGGCGGAAAUCGGCGGGUAAAGAAGGGACGAAUGGGGAUCGGCGAGGGAUUAGGAGAACUCCUUCUUCCCCUCUCUUGGAGACGGGAGAGACGAGGAGGAGUAAGCGGAGGAAGAGUUUAGUCGUUGCUGCUUGCCGUUCCCACCGGCGUCUUUGAGCCUCCUUAAUUAACCCUCUCCCUCAUUUAUAAUUAUAAUUUCCGUCUGUUUUUAGCCUAAUUUAAUUCCUUGUUUACUUUUAUUCUUAUUUAAUUACUCCCGUCCUUGGACCGAGGGGUCCGCGGCCACGUUUUUUAAGCGGCUACGAAUGUUCCUUUUCUCGCGAUUUGUAUCGCUCGAUAAAUCGCGAUAGAGCACGAGAAAAACGUGAGGGCCCUAUAUUCUCGAAGUGUUCCCUUCUAUUUUGCCCCUAUCCUAUACUGAAUUUACAAUUUUGCCAGACUUCCACCAGUUUGCUCCAGCUGGUACGCUGCGGGAAGGUUGUCCGUCUGACCGCCAUCCGAGCGCGUCGGCCCAGAUCCGCUCACCUCCCGGUGGGCUGCACUCAAGAUAAUCAUGGCGGGUAGGGCGUACAUAAAAUUUUUUUUUUCUUCAAACAAAGAAUUAAUUAAUGCAACAUUUAAAUUUUUGGAGAGAAGCUGAGGACGAUAUAUGCCGGACUAGAUCAUGCUCAACAACUAUAGCGGACUAACUUAGUCAUACUUGAAAGUAACUCGGCCACAAUAAUUAAAUGAAUUCUGAGUGACACCAACAGUGGUGGAGGGUGCCAUUCUUUGCUUCGAGACAUUCAAGCUAUGAUCAGUAGCGGUGUGACCUUUUGGACCAAAUAUAUGUUUAGAAAGACUAGUCGGUCGCGGAUUGGAUAACUUCGUAUAUGGUCAGUUAUUCUAGAGGCACCAUGUGCGUUGGAGAAGGAGAGUUAUUUAUAGCGCUCUGGGGCUUGUUAUUUUUCGAUUUUAUUGGAUGUAUCUACAUUAGAAUCAUCCAUCCUAUUAAAAAAAAAUUAUAAGAGGAGGAUCUUUCUCUUAGGUAAGUUACGGGAGGUGACCGCAUCGGAAAUGGACGGUAAGAGCGACCGUUGUUGGUGGAGGGGCAGUUUGGUAAUCUCGUCGAGACAAACAAGGCUGGGCGUGGCAAGUGACCGUUGGGAGGGGAUAACGUAACGGACGCGCGGAGGUGACAACUGACAAGGUUAAAAGGCCGUGGGGACUGGGGAAGGGUUAACGUCGAGACUGGGAGCCGCGGCCGUGGUUUUCCGUUCCCAUUGCGCGACCUGGUUUUGUGGUUUUUCUUUUACUUUUUCCGUCUCGGCCGUGUCUUGCUUUGGCCCUUCUUUUCUUCGGCACGAGGACUGACGCUGGGGCGUCGCGAGGCACGAGUCACAACUUUCUCGUUGGUAGCGCAAAAUAGAUGCCUCUGUUCCCCCGGGUGCACGGUCGUGCAGACCCAGUCUUGGGACCCACCCACACCAAGAUGUAGGGCCCAUUUCAGUCAGAGAUGUGAGCCUAGUAAACUUUUGAAGACAUAGACCGCCUUGGAAAGCUCGCACCGGUGAACUUCAAGUGUGAUGUAAACUUUAUGGCCUACCAGAUCCGUUGCCAUCCCCAGAAGAGGAGGAUGGUUGGGAAAUAAAAGAAAGAGCGAUUAGGCAUUAUUUAGAUGGAUGCUUCUUCUAGCCAUAUUACUCUAUUUUUUAAAAAUAUUUCUAUCAAGAAAAAAAAUAAAUAACCAGGAUCUAAACAUCUUCCCUGUAAUGAGCAUGUCAAAAGAUGCAAGGAAGGGAAAAAAAAGAAAAGUAGUGUCAAUAAAAGUUUUGCUUGACAGGUGUCAAGGUCUGCAACUUGAUACAUAAUUUUUUUUUUUUUCAUGGGUAGUGGGGUACAUAGUCUCAAAGAAGAAAAGAAAAAAUUAUGAUCCAAAUAUUGAAAUACUGUACCAAGCUUAAACUCUUCACAGGGAGCGACAGCUUUAUCUUUAUUGGUCAACCAAUCAGCUGUAGAUUGCCUUCUCUAUGAGUAUGAGCAAUAUGCAAUGAUUUUAAACUAUCGCGAUAUGAUAUAUAUCUUGCAAGUGAGAAUUGAGCAAAGAAUUAGCAUUGAAAGUCCAUCAAUCCAAUUAAUAACAAGAAGAGAAUCACCCUCUAUCCAUAUUUGUGUGUGCACGAUUUGGUCAAAGCCUAGAUUGGGCCUUACUCCAAAUAAUAUAAUAUAAGUUAGAAUCACCAUUUAAUUUACCAUAAGUUAGAAUGGAAAAAAAAAAGCUCCAGAACUUGCUCAUUGGAGAAUUAUUAUAACAGUAUGUCUAAUAUCAUAGCCACAUUAUUUAUAAGAUUUGUUCUUUUAUAUGUAUACCUAAAACUUGCAGAUAUAUAUUCAUAAAAUUACUAUUUACAUAUAUAACUGUUAUAAAUUAUUUUUUAUAUAUGUACCUAAGGUAAAUAUGCCAUCUAAUGCCAUAAAAAAAUAGAAUGUUCGGAGUUAAAAAGACUAAGAUGCUUUUAAUAUAUAUAGACAUGAAAAAAUAAUUUACAAAAUUAUACAUGCAAAUACUAAAUUUACAUGGGCAUACAUACUUUUGGAUAUUUACCUGCAUACUUUGAUUGAAUACAAAUUAAAUUAAGAUGGAUAUGAAAAAAAUAUUUUAUAAAAAUAUGUAUAUAUAAACAAUGAAUUUGUAAAAAUAUAUAAAAUUUUAAAUAUUUUUAGAAGAUGUAUGUGCUGAAAAAUUCAGAACAAGGAUCUGAUGUGAGACAAGCACUCAGGGCCAAGCCCUCGAAUGGGGUUCUCGGAACCGCCUAACCGAACCAAAACCACAUGGGUUUUCUACUCUUCUCGCUGCGGCAACGAACGAAACAACAAAGAAAACCAGAGGCUCGCCAACGCUCUCGGUGCUCCGCUCUCCCUCCAAUGUCGCUGGCGCCCCCUGCCUCCUCCCCCAACUCCCUCCUAUUCUUGGAAACGAAUCGGUCCGGGAAAAAUAACCGAUCUUGCUAUCCUCGCUGGGGCUCCCGCUUUACCCCAACCUCCGCCCUCCUCCUCCCUCCUCCUGCUCCCCCCCAUUUUUAUGGCAUGAAUCUCCAAACCCUACCGUCUCUACUCUACU
rnacentral:lncRNA from 1 species